rfam:Myotis lucifugus cont2.1761, whole genome shotgun sequence.
AUGUCUGAAGAGAGAAGCAGGGUCUGAUCCAUAGCUUGUAUGACAGCUGUUGAUCAGCACUUGCCUCUCUCUUUCUCUCAG